UCUACCUCCUCGCCUUUGUCUGCACCUUAUGUUUGUGCAGAUCUCCUGGACAGUCUGCUUCAUGAAAUUAUUGCUCUCUUCAACUCAUUCCAUGACUUCCUUGCUUUCAUCGCCACCUGCCAUUCUUGGCGCGCUGCAGUAUCUACAUUUCCCUCUGUGUAUACCUUCGGCUUCCCACCACUCCACUUCAAACCAGAUGGUCCUUAUGUUAGUCCACAUCGCGGCCGUAUCAAGCCCAUCCUUUUAUCUAAUUGCAAGUGGCAGCUCAGUGAUCCUAGCAAGAAAAACUUAUCCCUUGCGUGUUCAGUGCCUCAAAAUACGCCAGAUACAAUGCACUAUUUGGGCUACUCAUAUGGGUAUCUUAUCUUCUCCUACGAGGAGCACUGCCUUCUUGUUGAUGUUUACACCGGUACCAAGGUGAAGCCCCCCAAACUCCCACCCAACAACAAACUUGGGUACAUUUGUGGCAUAGGCGUCCUUACGGCCCCACUAAAUUCACCAAACUCUCGCCUCCUCCUUUGCUCGACAUCUUCCAUGUUUCAGUGGCAGGUUGGAACAGACUACUGGUCAGAGCACUCUCUUGCUCUCAGUGAUGAAAAUAUCCAUCAGAUUGUGGUAUUCAAAGGUGAUAUCUUUGUCAUGGAUGAUUUUAUGAGCCUCCACACUGUACACUUCACACCUCAGUUCAACAUGCAAGAAGUACCAAUUAUGUGGGAAUCCUUUUUUCCUAUUAACCCAUGGUUGGUGGCCUGUGGGGACAUGCUUCUCAUGGUUGACCUCUCGGUAAGCUCUUUUGAUUGGAACGGCACAGAUAGUCACACCUUCAACGUCUUCCGCCUUGACUUUGCUGUUGAGCCAGCUAAGUUUGUGAAGAUGGAGAAGUUGGAAAAUUAUGCCCUGUUUGUUAGUCUUGAUAAGAGGAAUCCUACAUUCUCUUGCAUGAGCCCGGAAAGAUGGGGAGGACAGAGUAACUGCAUUUAUGCUGCCAAGCUAUUUGAAGAUCCUGAUGAAACUUGGGCCGUGGUCGAGCUUGGUCAGCCAGUGCGAAAAAGCACAGUUCAGUACCUACUCUACGGUCGUGCGUUCCCUCCCGACUGCAGUUUACUAAGUAGCUUUUGGGUGUUUCCCGGUUUAAUUUAUGGUUUGUGGUCAUGUCUUGCACAAGACCUGACGUUUAUUUUAGUUAGCAGCUGGUCUUGUAAGGGUAACAUUUCCUGA
rnacentral:rRNA from 1 species